UUAUUUUUUUUUACUAUUGGCAAAUAUCAUUUUACACACUUUUCAUGAUUUGCAAUACUUAUUUAUAAUGUCCAUAACUAAUAAUACAUAUUCAAAUCACAAUAAGUUUUUUUUUCAACAAGUAUGAAAUAAACCCAACGAUCAUCAACCUUCAAAAUAUCAACUAAAAUGUGACAUAUUGCAAGGAAAAACGUAAACACAAAACAAAUGUUGAUAAUAAAAACAAUAAGACACUACAAAAAAUAAGCACUUUUAAAAACUUGGCAAUUUUUUCACAAAGAAAGAAAUUAAAACUACAAUAGUAAAAUAAACAUACAAAAUUAUUUCAAAGUAUUCAAAUGAAAAACAAAAUAAAAUAGUGGUAGAUGAAAUCGGCCAAUAACGAAUGAAUAAACAAACAAAUAUAAAGAUAUACUCAGAUAGUUAAGACUUUGAAGCACUCUACUAUAAGUAUAGUGGAAUUAGGUCAAGUUUAUGGACCUUAUGGUCGGAACUGGAUUAUUGUAUAUAAUCUAAACUAAAAUAUGAAUAAGAAACAGGUAUGUUAAGGACUUUGCUAAUAGUACAAACAUUUUAUUUAAUAUUUAUUUAUUGUAAAAUAAAUUUACAAGAAAUACAGAUUUUUAAAAUUAAGACUGGCUACUAAGGCCUUAAUUAAUCAAGAAAAAAAUAGAACAAACAUUUUAAACAAUUGAACAAAGUGAAAAUAUUUAGUUGACCUAUAGACUAAUAGACAACUUAAGAUCAUGUGGUGAUACAAAGUCUAUCGUUCUCCCUAUAAAAGCCGUAGGGUAUACAAAUACAAAAUAUGAUUAGACACACACCGACAUACUUUUGCUAUUAUAAAAACAAAUGCUACUACGUUCAAAAAUUAGCAACAAGUUAACAGAAACAUUUUUUGGUUUCUUUAUAACACAAUGAUGUACGAAUUGUUGGCAUAAACACGUCAAAAUAUAAUAAUAUCUAAUGCAAUCAAACCACAUAUAUAAAUUUUAAACUAGUACGUGGAGAGGAGCAAUUUAGACACACGCAAAUGCUCUUAGAGUGAAUCGAAAUAGACGCAGUCAGCAGUGUGUCAUUGUUUAGUACAACAUUUUUUUCUGGGUCUGUUGUACUGAGUUUCUUUUGGUUUUUAAUGAAAAAGUUAUCGUAUGAUUUUUUUCAACCAAUCAGCGCUCGAUGCCGUUUGCAAAAAUGACGUAACGCCAACACGACGACGUACAAUGUUUGUACGUCGACAACAAACAGAGUCAGUAAAUGCUAGUAGUACGUUUGUUUUAACCAAAUGUCAGUAGAAAGCCGAAAUGGUAGAGAGAAAUAAAACAAAACUCAAAUAAAAAUACUCAUA